rnacentral:rRNA from 1 species
AGUGAACGCUGGCGGUAGGCCUAACACAUGCAAGUCGAGCGGCCGCACGGUAGGAGUUUGCUCCUGAGGGUGGCGGGGGGCGGGCGGGUGAGACGUGCAUAACAAACUAAUUUUUCGUGGGUGAUUACGGGAGGAAACAUAUGCUACUGCAGAAUAUGUUGUACGGCUGAGAUCAGGGGAUCUUCGGGCUUUUCCCGUUUGAAUGAGACGAUUUCGCGCUGUAUUAGUGAGUUGGUAAGGUAACAGCUUACCAAGGCAACGUUGCGUAGCCGGCCUGAGAGGGUGAUCAGCCACACUGGAACUGAGACACGGUCCAGACUCCUACGGGAGGCAGCAGUGGGGAAUCUUGCACAAUGGGCGAAAGCCUGAUCCAGCAAUACCGCGUGAGUGAUGAAGGUCUUCGGGUCGUAAAGCUCUGUUGUUGGGAAAGAAAAGCAGCAUGUUUAUACGCGGCGAUUUUGACGGUACCCAAAGAAUAAGCCCCGGCUAACUUCGUG